UUAAGUAUUGUAGUUUAAAAAAAAAGAAAAGAAACCUAACCCCAUUUACUAUUUUCUCCCUCCGUAUUUCGUGUCUCAUUAAGAGACAACCAGAGGACUUCUUCCUCUUGCUUCGUGUCUUCAGUUCAAGGUGCCAUAGAGGUUCCUCACAAAAUCAUCACAAAUCCACUCAAAUUAACCUUCUGAUUCUUCAAUCAAUCGAAGAAGCCAAAACCCCAAACCCCAUAUCUAUCUCCUCCUCGUGAAAAACCCGAAUCCCCUCACCUUCCCCGUGAAAACCCGAAACCCAGACCCCUCGAAUUCUCUCUCACCUGCGCUCCUGCCUCGCCUGUGUUUUCUCAAGCUCGCCGGAGCUUUGUUGUUCGCCGCUCGUCGCCGCCCCGUCUCUCUCUCUCUCUUCGGUGGUCCUGCUGUUCUGGGUUCAGUUUUCUGUCUUAUUUUGGUUGAUGUCGUAAGGUGGCGUCGUUGUCGCGCCCUUCUUGCCGGUGUUGAACCACCACUGAUCGCCACUUCUCUCGCUUUUAUUCGUGCCGUGUUGCUGUUCGUGUUCCCCCGUUGUGAUGUUGUUGCUUUACCGGUGCUGUUGGGCGAUGGGUGCCGCCACCACGCCUCCCCUAUCGGUUUUUCAAUGUAAAUCCAACCCAGCUUGUAGCUCACUAGGUGUGGUGAAGUUCAACUUGAAUGCGGCAGUUAUUGGAGAGGAUGAAAUUAGGUUAGGUGUGGUGGGACGUAAUAGUGAAGGGUUGGUUGUUGCUAUAGCAGUGGCUUGUCGUUGAGCUAGUUGGGAUGUGGGUUUGUCUGAGUUGGCUCAUGUUAGAUUGACAACGCUUACAACUAAUCGUAUGGGAUAGAGUGUUGAUCUCGUUGAAACUGACUCCUAAGGUGUUGUUAGCUACUAUCAUAACAACCCUGCUUGGAAUGCAUUUACUGGCUUCUCUUAGACAAUAUUAGAAGUUGUGGAUCCUCUUUUUCUUCUUUUUUUUUUCUGUCUCAUCUUAGAAGGGAUGGGAAUACACAUGUACAUUUGAUGGUUCGUUUUUAUUCCCCCGUGGGGGAGUGAGUGUAUUUUUGUUGGUAACUAUCCCCAAAGUGUCUUAACUACGUCAUUUGGCUCCUGUUCGACAUUAUUUGUUUGCUCAUUGUUUGAAUUUUCUUCAUUA